UAUGGUCAUAUCACGUCUAAAACACCGGUUUUCGUACGAUCCAUGAAGUUACGCAACGUUGAGCCUGGUUAGUACUUAGAUGGGUGAUCGACUGUGGAUACCAGGAACUGUAAU